rnacentral:rRNA from 1 species
AUCAUUUAGAGGAAGGAGAAGUCGUAACAAGGUUUCCGUAGGUGAACCUGCAGACCGCGCACGCGUCAUCCAAUCCGUCGGUGACGGCACCGUCCGUCGCUCGGCCUAUGCCUCGACCACCUCCCCUCCACGGAGUGGGUGGGGGCUCGAGGCAAAAGAACCCACGGCGCCGAAGGCGUCAAGGAACACUGUGCCUAACACGGGGCCAUGGCUAGCUUGCUAGCUGUGACUCGUGUUGCAAAGCUAUUUAAUCCACACGACUCUCGGCAACGGAUAUCUCGGCUCUCGCAUCGAUGAAGAACGUAGCGAAAUGCGAUACCUGGUGUGAAUUGCAGAAUCCCGCGAACCAUCGAGUCUUUGAACGCAAGUUGCGCCCGAGGCCACUCGGCCGAGGGCACGCCUGCCUGGGCGUCACGCCAAAACACGCUCCCACACCCCUCAUUGGGAAUCGGGAUGCGGCAUCUGGUCCCUCGUCUCGCAAGGGGCGGUGGACCGAAGUUCGGGCUGCCGGCGUACCGUGUCAAACACAGCGCGUGGUGGGCGUCUUUGCUUUAUCAACGCAGUGCAUACGACGCGUAGCCGGCAUGAUGGCCUCAAAACGACCCAACAAACGUAGCGCACGUCGCUUCGACCGCGACCCCAGGUCAGGCGGGACUACCCGCUGAG